rnacentral:rRNA from 1 species
CCUUUGUACACACCGCCCGUCGCUACUACCGAUUGAAUGGCUUAGUGAGGCUUUCGGAUUGGACUUUGGCAGCUGGCAACAGCAGCUAAGGUCUGAAAAGUUAUCCAAACUUGGUCAUUUAGAGG